rnacentral:rRNA from 1 species
CUACGGGAUGCACCAGUGAGGAAUAUUGCACAAUGGGGGGAACCCUGAUGCAGCAACGCCGCGUGGAGGAUGACGCAUUUCGGUGUGUAAACUCCUUUUACAUGUCAAGAAAAUGACGGUAGCAUAUGAAUAAGCACCGGCUAACUCCGUGCCAGCAGCCGCGGUAAUACGGAGGGUGCAAGCGUUACUCGGAAUCACUGGGCGUAAAGGGCGCGUAGGCGGGUUGGAAAGUCAGGUGUGAAAUCCUACAGCUUAACUGUAGAACUGCACUUGAAACUUCUAAUCUAGAGUAUGGGAGGGGGAGAUGGAAUUAGUGGUGUAGGGGUAACAUCCGUAGAUAUCACUAGGAAUACCUAAAGCGAAGGCGAUCUCCUGGAACAUUACUGACGCUAAGGCGUGAAAGCGUGGGGAGCAAACAGGAUUAGAUACCCUUGUAGUC